CUGGCGGCGCGCCUAACACAUGCAAGUCGAACGAGCGAGAGAGAGCUUGCUUUCUCGAGCGAGUGGCGAACGGGUGAGUAACGCGUGAGGAACCUGCCUCAAAGAGGGGGGACAACAGUUGGAAACGACUGCUAAUACCGCAUAAGCCCACGGCUCGGCAUCGAGCAGAGGGAAAAGGAGUAAUCCGCUUUGAGAUGGCCUCGCGUCCGAUUAGCUAGUUGGUGAGGUAACGGCCCACCAAGGCGACGAUCGGUAGCCGGACUGAGAGGUUGAACGGCCACAUUGGGACUGAGACACGGCCCAGACUCCUACGGGAGGCAGCAGUGGGGAAUAUUGCACAAUGGGGGAAACCCUGAUGCAGCGACGCCGCGUGGAGGAAGAAGGUCUUCGGAUUGUAAACUCCUGUUGUUGGGGAAGAUAAUGACGGUACCCAACAAGGAAGUGACGGCUAACUACGUG
rnacentral:rRNA from 1 species